AAUUUUGGACUAUGCGGGAAACCCUGAUCCAGCCAUCCCGCGUGUAUGAUGAAGGCCUUCGGUUUGUAAAGUACUUUUGGCAGAGAAGAAAAGGUACCUCCUAAUACGAUGUACUGCUGACUGUAUCUGCAUAAUAAGCACCGGCUAACUAAGUGCCAUCAGCCGCUGUAAUACGUAGGGUGCAAGCGUUAAUCGGAAUUACUGGGCGUAACGCGUGUGUAGGCGGUUCGGAAAGAAAGAUGUGAAAUCCCAGGGCUCAACCUUGGAACUGCAUUUUUAACUGCCGAGCUAGAGUAUGUCAGAGGGGGGUAGAAUUCCACGUGUAGCAGUGAAAUGCGUAGAUAUGUGGAGGAAUACCGAUGGCGAAGGCAGCCCCCUGGGAUAAUACUGACGCUCAGACACGAAAGCGUGGGGAGCAAAC
rnacentral:rRNA from 1 species